AGAAAACCAAAUCAUCAGUAGAUUGCUCAGCCAUGAGAUGUUGAGCCAAGGUACAACCUAAGGAGGCUGGUUUUAGCCCUUGAUGUCUGUUGAAUAUAAGAAAAUAAGUCAUCUUCAGUGACCUUGCAUGGGGGAAGAAUAUUGAACUUUCCAGAUGUUGCAAUGAUCAAUUGGGAUGAUGCUAAGGACCUCUGACCUACAACAGGUGGUGAGGUGAGGUGGGGAGAAGAAGGGAGGAGAAAGAAAGAGAGUGAAUGUGCAGCCAAGAGUGAUUUCAUCAACUGCUUCACUCUCCAAAUGCCCACAAGAGUUGGAACUGAUUUGGGCCAAAACUUGAAACAAAUAACCCAGUCCAGGUCUCUCAUGUCAGUGGUAGGAACCCAGUUAUUUCAGCUAUCUCCGCUGUCCAGGUCUGCAUUAUCAGGGAUCUGGAGUCAGUAGCCAGAGCCAGAUAUUGACCUUAGGUACUCUGAUAUGGAACACAGACUUCCUAACCAGCAUCCUAACCACUGAGUUAAAGUCUGUCCCCUAAAAUUCCAUUUUUAGAUUAGGAGUAUGUUUAUAACACAUAGGAGGGAUAUAUGGUAAAUAUAGCCAGUUUUUUCUAGAAACAAUCAUAGAUGGCUGAUUCUCUGCCUGCCCUCCUUUUUGCUUAGCUUCAUUUUUUUUUUUAAUGUUUCCAAUACAAGUAUGUAUCCCUUGUAUAAUUUUUCUUGAAGUUGUUAUCUAAGGACAUAGUAUUUGGGCACACAUGACAUGCUAAAAAUGGCUUUUUUAAGGACAGGGUCAGAAAGGGAUUUGUUUUAUCAAUUUGGCUAAAGAAUGGGAAGAAUAAUACCAAUUUACAAAUUUUGUUUCCUUAAAGGAGGGAACAUAAUAGUAAAAUUAUAACCCAACUGUUCUCUUAUAUUAAUGGUUGUGACAAUCUUGAUUAAGUCACCUAAACUUGUGGGCCUUAUUCUCCUAUAUAUAAAAUGAAGACCUGAAUAAUCUUAAUGUUUCUUGGGAGGAAAAAUUCACAAUUACUGAAGUGCCUUUCUCAAUAGUUAUUAGGAUUGGAUUAAGAUGGCAGAGUAGGAAGGGAGCUUGCUGCUUGAGUCUAGGAGGAUAGUUUUUAAAAAGUAGAAAGCAUGCAGUCUCAGGGAAGAGUUAGGGAGAAAACAGCAGAGGAAACUACACAAAUUGAAGGAACACAGUGGACCUACAUGGAGGUUAAGGACGUGCACAACUUAGGACCCAAACAGCCAAGAGCCUUCAUAACAGCAUUGGAGAGUGA